UACAGAGGGUGCGAGCGUUAAUCGGAAUUACUGGGCGUAAAGCGUGCGUAGACGGUUAUUUAAGUCGGAUGUGAAAGCCCCGGGCUCAACCUGGGAAUUGCAUUCGAGACUGAAUAGCUAGGGUACGGUAGAGGGAAGCGGAAUUUCCGGUGUAGCGGUGAAAUGCGUAGAUAUCAGGAGGAACGCCGGCGGCGAAAGCGACUCUCUGGCCUGUAACUGACGCUGAGGCGCGAAAGCUAGGGGAGCAAACGGG
rnacentral:rRNA from 1 species